ensembl:snoRNA SCARNA10 Small nucleolar RNA U85
GCCCUGUGAUGAGACCAAGGCGAAUACGAGCUUACUGAAUGAGAGCUGGGUUUCUCUUGCCUUGACUGGCAGGUAAUCUUGGCAGUGCAGAGGAGGAUUCCUGCUCUGCUGUAAGGGCCUGCCUACAGUGACUUGGCUCGACCCAAAUUAUUCCUCUGCAGUCACAGUGGAGUAAUUUCUGGGUUGUCGCUGACAGCGUGUGUCUUAUGUCUGUGUGUGUGUGUUAAAAAAGGCAAGAAGUUCACCCAGCUUUCUUUACUGUUCAGUGAGCCAUGAGUUUUGUCUUUGGUAAUCUGAGGGCA